AUUGAACGCUGGCGGCAUGCCUUACACAUGCAAGUCGAACGGUAACAGGUCUUCGGAUGCUGACGAGUGGCGAACGGGUGAGUAAUACAUCGGAACGUGCCCGAUCGUGGGGGAUAACGCAGCGAAAGCUGUGCUAAUACCGCAUACGAUCUACGGAUGAAAGCGGGGGAUCGCAAGACCUCGCGCGGACGGAGCGGCCGAUGGCAGAUUAGGUAGUUGGUGGGAUAAAAGCUUACCAAGCCGACGAUCUGUAGCUGGUCUGAGAGGACGACCAGCCACACUGGGACUGAGACACGGCCCAGACUCCUACGGGAGGCAGCAGUGGGGAAUUUUGGACAAUGGGGGAAACCCUGAUCCAGCCAUGCCGCGUGCAGGAUGAAGGCCUUCGGGUUGUAAACUGCUUUUGUACGGAACGAAAGGUACCUUUCUAAUAAAGAAGGCUCAUGACGGUACCGUAAGAAUAAGACACCGGCGUAACUACGUGCCAGCAGCGCGGUAAGCUACG
rnacentral:rRNA from 1 species